rnacentral:rRNA from 1 species
GACAGAGGGUGCAAACGUUGUUCGGAAUUACUGGGCGUAAAGCGCGUGUAGGCGGCUUCGCAAGUCGGGUGUGAAAUCCCACGGCUCAACCGUGGAAGUGCAUUCGAAACUGCGAGGCUAGAGUCCUGGAGAGGAAGGUGGAAUGCUUGGUGUAGAGGUGAAAUUCGUAGAUAUCAAGCGGAACACCGGUGGCGAAGGCGGCUCUCUGGGUCUGUCCUGACGCUCAGGCGCGAAAGCUAGGG